rnacentral:pre_miRNA from 1 species
AACAGAUGACGCCGUUGAUUUUUUCUCACAUAUUUGACCGUUCGUCUUAUUAAAAAAUUUACGUAAUUAUAAUUUAUUUUGUUAUGAAUUGUUUAUCACUCAUGGUACUUUAAGUGUGAUUUAUAUCUUAUACAUUUGCAUAAAAUUUUUUGAAUAAGACGAAUGGUCAAACAUGUGAGAAAAAGUCAACGGUGUCAUCUAUU